rnacentral:sRNA from 1 species
AUCGAUGCAGUUCUGUCCGUAAAGCACUACCGUGGUGAAAAAUUCACACAAAAUAUGUCGCCACAUCAACACACAAGGAAAUCUUUAUGGGCUAGCGAUUCCAGUUACUUUCAACUUUUAUGAAAGCAGAGCAGAUCUAAAAACUAUGGCAUUUCUUUGUGAUACCGGAAGACGGAAACUGGGCGCCUUCUUGGUAGUUUUGGUUGUCGUGGAAAUAUUUUUCAUUUGCCUGAUGGUUCGUCAUGAGCACAAAUCGGCCAUUACGCAUGCUCUUCUGAGACAGGAAAUGGAAGUACGCCGAGUUACACCACGUGGUAUUGAUGGAAUGUGAAAAUGAAGAAGAGACGAACAAUGGAACGGGAAAAAUUAUCGGUCUUCCGAAUUCUGGUACAUUGUAUCUGCAGAGCAUGCGGAAAGUGGAUGCAUCAUAUAUCACAAAAUUGCAGAGCGUGUUUAGAGGGGAAAUCAGACCAAGUGACAUUUCAAGUGAAUCAUUUAUAUGCAUGUACAUAUACGUUCUAUGAAUAACAUUUUGCCAUACUAUAUGAUAGUAUAUCUGUUAAACUAUGCAUUCACGCAUUUUGUUGAUUCGAUUUAAAAAAAAAAACAACAACGACUUUGCUGUCUUUUGUUGAACGUUUGAUUGUGUUCUCAUAAUAAAUUUGAUCACGUGUACUUACAUACAGUUAGAUUUAUGUAAAGUAACAUUUUCUGAUCUAUGUCAUUGUGCUUUGGGGUCAAUAUGCAAUAAAAUCCCCCGAGUUC